rfam:Salmo salar isolate Sally breed double haploid chromosome ssa15, whole genome shotgun sequence.
UGGCUCAGUUGGUAGAGCAUGGUGUUUGCAACGCCAGGGUUGUGGGUUCAAUUCUCAC